rnacentral:rRNA from 1 species
GGUGACCCAAACCCUCACCAGAGUAGCAAUUGGAGGGCAAGUCUGGUGCCAGCAGCCGCAGUAAUUCCAGCUCCAAUAGCGUAUAUUAAACUUGUUGCAGUUAAAAAGCUCGUAGUUGUAUUUUUGCGUUGACGGUUUGACCAUUUGGUUGGUUAUUUCGUUUUCGCUUUUGGGAAUUUCCCUUUUUACUUUGAGAAAAUUAGAGUGUUUCAAGCAGACUUUUGUCUUGAAUACUUCAGCAUGGAAUAAUAGAGUAGGACUUUGGUUCUAUUUUGUUGGUUAUUGAACCUUAGUAAUGGUUAAUAGGAACGGUUGGGGGCAUUC